UGUCACAGCAAAAGUUACAACAGGAGGAAAACACAGAAAUGGUUCAACAUUUUUUUUUUAAACUUUGCACUGCCAAGAGCUGAAGGAGAGUGGUGAGCAAAGGAAUGAAGGGGAGAGAGAGAAACUGAACUGGAAGAUUGAGUUUUGUAUAGCUUCUUGAAACCUUAUGAAUGGAUUACUAGCAGCUGAGAGCCAGGAGAGACCUAUAGGGACUGCAAGAUCAUUCACACAUAAACAGGGGCAGAAAAGGAGGCGGAAUUCUUCCUUGCUGUAUUAUCCCUCCUUCCUGAAAUGAAUGGGACCCACAAGACUCCCAGAAGGUGAAGUCGAGGGCUCUCAGAUUCAUAAGGUUAUUAGGACACCAGACUGGCAUCCCCAAGGAGAACUUUACGGAGACUUGCAACAUACCAACAAGUUGGAAGGGGAUUAAAAAACCUUCAACACUCCACAAGCCCAAGCACCAAGCUGAGGGAAACAUUCUGACCUGCACAGGCAGACUGGCAGCUGGCUGGGGCUCUGGCUGAGGAGGACCUCUGGAGAGCAAAAGCUAAGUACCAGCUUGAAUUUUUGGGCCCCCAGGUUCCUUUUGCAGUUUUAGAUAGAAGCAUCAAAUCCUGUGUCUCUGGAUGCAAGUUCUUGUAGUGGUUUGUUUGAAGGGGGAUGCGGCUUAGGUACAUAAUGUAACUCUUAGGGAAGGAAGAAGGAGAGAGAAAUAAAAAUGAGAAGCCUAGCGCCUUUUUCA
rnacentral:lncRNA from 1 species